UCAGUUCACAUUCCGAUUAUUGUAAUUGUUUCCUAACCGCAAAAUUGUUCGAAAUAAAUUAUACGAAAUUACGUUAGCACGCAACGGAAAUUAUGAGAUGUUGGAACGUCAUCUCAAAAAUAAUGGGGUAUAGCAGCAAAUAACAUAAAUAUACAUUAGCACAUACAAACGGUAGGUUUAACAAAAAUAAAUUUGUUUUCAGACGUUGAUGUGGGUAUACUGUAUUACGAUGAUGAUUAUGUGGUCGACAUUGCGUUCAACGUGAUGCUUACUUUGCUUUACAAAGCAUCAAAUUCAGUCUGACAAGAUGCAUAUGUGUAAGUAAUUUUGACUGAGCGUAAAAUUGGCUUAUUCAAGUAUUCGUUCCAUAUUACUUUAUGUCAAAAGAAUAAGCUAUAGACAAGUGGGCAGAGAUCAAUCAUUGAUAUUUAUGUAAAAGACAAUGAAACGUAAAAACUGAAGAAAAUUUUAUUAAAAUCAACCUCAAAUAAAGCAUAUGUGACAAAACCUAAUAUUUUAAUAUAUUUAGUUGACGUAAAAAGCCAAAUAAAGGAUUUGAAUUCGUUAUACUAGAGAUAUGAGGUUCAGACCGAUAACAUUUCAUAUGCAUUGAGAACCGAACCAUUAAAAUGUGUUAUAAUUUUCUACUUUAUUUCAAUAAAUAUCAUAAAUAAUUAAUAUGUA